GCGAUUUAAUGUUUGCUGGGCACACAUUGUCUGAAUGUCGCACAGUCACUCACUUUCACUAAAUCACUUCCCACUGAAGAUACACUGGAGGAAAACAUUACAACUGUGUGUGUGCAAUCGCCAUUUGUCUAGUGGAAGCGAAAUGAUUCGGAGCUUUUAUGUAUAGAAAACAAUAGCAAGGGUUCACGCAGUCGUAAAAACUGCACUAGCUGAUGAACAGUAUGCGACGGCAGAAGUUCCACGAUCUUAAACACAUCGUCACAACAACAAUGAUUCUACAGCAGUACUUGACGACGAUACCCAGCGAAAACUAUCACAAUCAUUACCACCGACAGCAGCCCAUAACUUCGGACGGAGGGAAAGCGAAAUAUGUGUCCCAUCUGCGAUAUAAUUUCCUUCGCAAAUCACGACUUCACGUCCGGUCGCUCAACAACAACAAAAAACCGUGUCCAAGGAUAAUGGGGAGAGUCAGUUUGUGUGGAGAAUUUGCUCCAAGGCGCUUCAUUGCUGGAUCGGUACAUGCUGCCUUUGCUCGGAUACGGAGCGCCACAUCAAGUAGUAACAUUCCUAAUUCUGGUCGAAGCGCGGAGGAUAUCAUUGGAUGCGCAACCGGAUAAUUCGACCGAGGCGGAGGCUGUAGGGUAUUAGUUAGCUGUUCUUAUAAUAUGAUAUUGGUAGUGUAACUAAGCAAGACAACCUACAAAGAAUACCCAUGACAAGGGAGAAAGAAGAGGAAGAAGAAGAUCUUUUUUGAGUGAGAACGGAAACGGUAAAGAGAGU